rnacentral:rRNA from 1 species
GAUGAACGCUGGCGGCGUGCCUAAUACAUGCCAGUCGAGCGAACGGACGAGAAGCUUGCUUCUCUGAUGUUAGCGGCGGACGGGUGAGUAACACGUGGAUAACCUACCUAUAAGACUGGGAUAACUUCGGGAAACCGGAGCUAAUACCGGAUGAUAUUUUGAACCGCAUGGUUCAAAAGUGAAAGACGGUCUUGCUGUCACUUAUAGAUGGAUCCGCGCUGCAUUAGCUAGUUGGUAAGGUAACGGCUUACCAAGGCAACGAUGCAUAGCCGACCUGAGAGGGUGAACGGCCACACUGGAACUGAGACACGGUCCAGACUCCUACGGGAGGCAGCAGUAGGGAAUCUUCCGCAAUGGGCGAAAGCCUGACGGAGCAACGCCGCGUGAGUGAUGAAGGUCUUCGGAUCGUAAAACUCUGUUAUUAGGGAAGAACAUAUGUGUAAGUAACUGUGCACAUCUUGACGGUACCUAAUCAGAAAGCCACGGCUAACUACGUG